rnacentral:rRNA from 1 species
UACGUAGGGUGCGAGCGUUAAUCGGAAUUACUGGGCGUAAAGCGUGCGCAGGCGGUUCGUUGUGUCGGCGGUGAAAGCCCCGGGCUCAACCUGGGAACUGCAUUUGUGACUGCAUAGCUAGAGUACGGUAGAGGGGGAUGGAAUUCCGCGUGUAGCAGUGAAAUGCGUAGAUAUGCGGAGGAACACCGAUGGCGAAGGCAAUCCCCUGGACCUGUACUGACGCUCAUGCACGAAAGCGUGGGGAGCAAACAGG